GAUGAAGAACGUAGCGAAAUGCGAUAAGUAAUGUGAAUUGCAGAAUUCAGUGAAUCAUCGAAUCUUUGAACGCACAUUGCGCCCGCUAGUAUUCUGGCGGGCAUGCCUGUUCGAGCGUCAUUUCAACCCUCAGGCCCCCAGUGCCUGGCGUUGGGGAUCGGCCGCUGGCGUCCUUCGGGGCGCCUGGCCGGCCCCGAAAUCUAGUGGCGGUCUCGCUGUAGUCCUCCUCUGCGUAGUAGCACAACCUCGCAGAUGGAACUCGGCGGUGGCCAUGCCGUUAAACACCCCACUUCUGAAAGUUGACCUCGGAUCAGGUAGGAAUACCCGCUGAACUUAAGCAUAUCAAUAAGCGGAGGA
rnacentral:misc_RNA from 1 species